rnacentral:rRNA from 1 species
AUUGAACGCUGGCGGCAGGCCUAACACAUGCAAGUCGAACGAGUGGCGGACGGGUGAGUAAUGUCUGGGAAACUGCCUGAUGGAGGGGGAUAACUACUGGAAACGGUAGCUAAUACCGCAUAUCAUCGGAUGUGCCCAGCUGGGAUUAGCUAGUAGGUGGGGUAAAGGAUCACCUAGGCGACGAUCCCUAGCUGGGCUGAGAGGAUGGCCAUCCAAACUGGAACUGAGAUACGGUCCAGACUCGUACGGGAGGCAGCAGUGGGGAGUAUUGCACAAUGGGCGCAAGCCUGAUGCAGCCAUGCCGAGUGUAGGGAGAAGGCCGUCGGGUUGUAAAGUACUUUCAGCGGGGAGGCGUUACCCGCAGAAGAAGCACCGGCUAACUCCGUGCCAGCAGCCGCGGUAAUUC